UAAUAAGAUCAUAACCCACACAAAAUACAUAAAAGAAUUGUUAGUGAGAGCAAGAACAAGUAACGGAAAAUGGAUUUGCUGGUGAUUUUGGUGCUAUGCAUCGUUCUUAUAGUCUUGGUGGCUGUUGGUGUUUGCCUAUGUUGCCUCUGUAAAAAGGGUUCCAAUAAGAAGAAGCCGGCCGACCCCAGUGGUGAGGUUUAGGAGAGUCCGAAGUGAGUAAAACAUGAGAUACUUUGAUGAUAUUUGUAAAUUUAUUAUUGGUUCAAAUUUGUUUUUGAUUUAAAUUUUAAAUCUAUAACUUAAUUAUAAUAUAUUGGAACUACUGAUAUUAUAUAUUUGUGAGAUACCAUUAGAGUAUCUAGACUAGUGUGGAUGCUCUGACGGGAAUUUGUAUUUCCUUGAAUAAGACAUAUUACAAAGUAUAAGCGAUAAGCAUAUGUAUUGGCGAAAAGUCUAUGAUAUAUUGCUACAAUGGUUUAAAAUGU